rnacentral:lncRNA from 1 species
AGGCUUUCUGCUUCCUGACAGCCAGGCUUUCUGCAUGAAGGUGAAGGCACUCCUGAACCAGGAGCACAAAUCAUUCCUUCUCCUAAGUCCUGGACAGCCUGCAGAUGAAGAUGCAGCACUCUCAGCUCCUCCUGCACCAUGCCUGCCUGGACGCUGCCAUGUUCACACCUUGAUGAUAAUGGACUGAAGCUCUGAACCUCCUGAAACCUGCUUGCUCAGGGGUGGAGCUUCCUGCUCAUUCGUUCUGCCACGCCCACUGCUGGAACCUGCGGAGCCACACACGUGCACCUUUCUACUGGACCAGAGAUUAUUCGGCGGGAAUCGGGUCCCCUCCCCCUUCCUUCAUAACUAGUGUCGCAACAAUAAAAUUUGAGCCUUGAUCAGA